UGAGGAAUAUUGGUCAAUGGUCGCAAGACUGAACCAGCCAUGCCGCGUGCAGGAUGACGGUCCUAUGGAUUGUAAACUGCUUUUGUACGGGAAGAAACACUCCUACGUGUAGGGGCUUGACGGUACCGUAAGAAUAAGGAUCGGCUAACUCCGUGC
rnacentral:rRNA from 1 species